AUCUCUUUCUAAACAAGGAGGGAAAUACUGGACCUGAGUUAUCAGAAGCCAGGUCAUGCUUAUGUCAGAAGCUGUUAAGCCAUCAACCUGCACUCCAAACAUCUGCUCAGGAUUAGCAUGAAAUGGGUCCAAAGAAAUCCACACUGGAACUACAAAGAAGAGCAUGGAAAACAUGAACUCCAAGUAGUUGAAAGACAGAUUUCAAUAAAAAGAAGAAAAGAUAAGCAAAGGAA